AUACGGAGGAUGCGAGCGUUAUCCGGAUUUAUUGGGUUUAAAGGGAGCGUAGGCGGGAGCUUAAGUCAGCGGUUAAAUGGUGCGGCUCAACCGUGCCCUGCCGUUGAAACUGGGUUUCUUGAGAGUGCAAGAGGCGGAUGGAAUUCAUGGUGUAGGGGGGAAAUGCUUAGAUAUCAUGAAGAACUCCGAUUGCGAAGGCAGUCCGCUGGGGCACGUCUGACGCUGAUGCUCGAAGGUGCGGGAAUCAAACAGGAUUAGAUACCCUGGUGGUCCGCACGGUAAACGAUGAUUACCCGCUGUCGGCGGUAGACAGUCGGCGGCCAAGCGAAAGCGAUAAGUAAUCCACCUGGGGAGUACGCCGGCAACGGUGAAACUCAAAUGAAUUGACGG
rnacentral:rRNA from 1 species